AACAAUUAAAAAUAUGAGCAGAGCGUGAUGACUGGGUGUUCACGCAAUUAUGUGAGAGGUGCCUCCCACAAACCUUGCUAUGAUGUUGGCACAUUACUCGUCUGACG